CCGGGAUAACUCCGGGAAACCGGAGCUAAUACCGGAUAACACCAAAGACCGCAUGGUCUUUGGUUGAAAGGCGGCUUCGGCUGUCACUUGCGGAUGGGCCCGCGACGCAUUAGCUAGUUGGUGAGGUAACGGCUCACCAAGGCGACGAUGCGUAGCCGGUCUGAGAGGGUGACCGGCCACCCUGGGACUGAGACACGGCCCCGACUCCUACGGAAGGCAGCAGUAGGGAAUCUUCCGCAAUGGACGAAAGUCUGACGGAGCGACGCCCCUUGAUCCAAGAAGGCCUUCGGGUCGUAAAGCUCUGUUGUGAGGGAUGAAGGAGCGCCGUUUGAAUAAGGCGGCGCGGUGACGGUACCUCACUGAAAGCCCCGGCUAACUACAUGCCAGCAUCCGCGGUAAUACGUAGGGGGCGAGCGUUGUCCGGAAUUAUUGGGCGUAAAGCGCGCGCAGGCGGUCCUUUAAGUCUGAUGUCAAAGACCACGGCUCAACCGUGGAGGGUCAUUGGAAACUGGGCGACUUGAGUGCAGGAGAGGAGAGCGGAAUUCCACGUGUAGCGGUGAAAUGCGUAGAGAUGUGGAGGAACACCAGUGGCGAAGNCGGCUCUCUGGCCUGUAACUGAMGCUGAGGCGCGAAAGCGUGGGGAGYAAACAGGAUUAGAUACCCUGGUAGUCCACGCCGUAAACGAUGAGUGCUAAGUGUUAGAGGGGUCACACCCUUUAGUGCUGUAGCUAACGCGAUAAGCACUCCGCCUGGGGAGUACGGCCGCAAGGCUGAAACUCAAAGGAAUUGACGGGGGCCCGCACAAGCGGUGGAGCAUGUGGUUUAAUUCGAAGCAACGCGAAGAACCUUACCAGGUCUUGACAUCCCCUGACAACCCAAGAGAUUGGGCGUUCCCCCUUCGGGGGGACAGGGUGACAGGUGGUGCAUGGUUGUCGUCAGCUCGUGUCGUGAGAUGUUGGGUUAAGUCCCGCAACGAGCGCAACCCUUGCCUCUAGUUGCCAGCAUUCAGUUGGGCACUCUAGAGGGACUGCCGGCUAAAAGUCGGAGGAAGGUGGGGAUGACGUCAAAUCAUCAUGCCCCUUAUGACCUGGGCUACACACGUGCUACAAUGGGCGGUACAAAGGGCUGCGAACCCGCGAGGGGGAGCGAAUCCCAAAAAGCCGCUCUCAGUUCGGAUUGCAGGCUGCAACUCGCCUGCAUGAAGCCGGAAUCGCUAGUAAUCGCGGAUCAGCAUGCCGCGGUGAAUACGUUCCCGGGCCUUGUACACACC
rnacentral:rRNA from 1 species